rnacentral:rRNA from 1 species
UACAGAGGGGGCAAGCGUUAUUCGGAAUUAUUGGGCGUAAAGGGCGCGUAGGCGGCCUUGCAAGUGGAAGGUGAAAUCCCUCGGCUUAACCGAGGAACUGCCUUCCAGACUGCUAGGCUUGAGACCGGGAGAGGUGAGUGGAAUUCCCAGUGUAGCGGUGAAAUGCGUAGAUAUUGGGAGGAACACCAGUGGCGAAGGCGGCUCACUGGACCGGUACUGACGCUGAUGCGCGAAAGCGUGGGGAGCAAACGGG